GACGAACGCUGGCGGCGUGCCUAAUACAUGCAAGUUGAGCGAUGAAGAUUGGUGCUUGCACCAAUUUGAAGAGCAGCGAACGGGUGAGUAACGCGUGGGGAAUCUGCCUUUGAGCGGGGGACAACAUUUGGAAACGAAUGCUAAUACCGCAUAACAACUUUAAACAUAAGUUUUAAGUUUGAAAGAUGCAAUUGCAUCACUCAAAGAUGAUCCCGCGUUGUAUUAGCUAGUUGGUGAGGUAAAGGCUCACCAAGGCGAUGAUACAUAGCCGACCUGAGAGGGUGAUCGGCCACAUUGGGAAUGAGACACGGCCCAAACUCCUACGGGAGGCAGCAGUAGGGAAUCUUCGGCAAUGGACGAAAGUCUGAACGGGCAACGCCGCGUGAGUGGAGAAGGUUUUCGGAUCGUAAAACUCUGUUGGUAGGGAAGAACGUUGGUGGGAGUGGAAAGCUCAUCAAGUGACGGUAACUACCCAGAAAGGGACGGCUAACUACGUG
rnacentral:rRNA from 1 species